rnacentral:rRNA from 1 species
UUGAUAGGUUGGGUGUGUAAGUGCUGUGAGGCAUUGAGCUAACCAAUACUAAUUGCUCGUGAGGCUUGACCAUAUAACACCAAAG